rnacentral:lncRNA from 1 species
UGAAUUCUGUCCCAUCAGCCUGCUAACACGCUGUGGGGCUUGCACUGGGCCUGGGAGUACUGCUUUGGCAAACAUGAAUCUCCUAUUCAGAUUAUCAGUUUUCCUUGGCCUGUGGGUUUGUUCCGGUGCUCAGGGACAAACCAAAGAAGAAAGCACAGAGGAAGUGAAAAUAGAAGUUUUGCAUCGUCCAGAAAACUGCUCCAAAACAAGCAGGAAAGGAGACCUGCUAAAUGCCCAUUACGAUGGCUACUUGGCUAAAGACGGCUCCAAAUUCUACUGCAGCCGGACACAAGAUGAAGGCCACCCCAAAUGGUUUGUUCUUGGUGUUGGGCAUGUGAUAAAGGGGCUAGACAUUGCUAUGAUGGACAUGUGCCCUGGAGAAAAGAGAAAGGUGAUUAUUCCUCCUUCACUUGCUUAUGGAAAAGAAGGCUAUGGUGAUGCUUGAAGAAGCUUUUCCUCUGGCGAAAUGUCCUUGGCUCAUGUCCCAGAACACCCCUGCAUGUCUUAAAGUGCAUGUGGCUUUCUAGUGCUUUGAUUAACCAUCUCUGUGCAGAAGGCAAGAUUCCACCCAAUGCAACUCUGAUGUUCGAGAUUGAACUUUAUGCUGUGACCAAGGGACCACGGAGCAUUGAAACGUUUAAGCAAAUAGACACGGACAAUGACAGGCAGCUCUCCAAGGCCGAGGAAAGUCAGUAAGGUCAUAAUGCUACUUCAUGAGGCAGACCUGUAGCUUCAGUUACUCCAAACCUGAUGUAAGAAGACAGCACCUUGAAAGGACAGCCUGGGGCUACAGAGAGUUGAAGACUACCCUGGCCGACGUACUAACACCCUGUCUUAGAAGAUAGAGCUUUACUUACAGAAGGACUUUGAAAAAGACGCAAAACCCCGUGACAAGUCAUAUCAGAAGGCGGUUUUGGAAGAUAUCUUUAAGAAAAAUGACCACGAUGGAGACGGCUUCAUUUCUCCCAAGGAAUACAACGUGCACCAACAUGACGAGCUUUAAGUUUGCUCCUUCUCUCUCAUUAGCCGCUCACACACCGCGCUUUAAACACAGGGAACCACUGUUCUCUGUGUGGNCCGCUUUNCCCGGAUGAGGAGAUAUUUCGUGUCCUUCAAUAAACAUAAUUUUGGUGUG